rnacentral:lncRNA from 1 species
GUGUAAACUUUUAUUUUUAUUUAUUUUUUAAUUUAUUUCUUACAUACAUGACAAUAGUGGAAUGCAUUACAUUCAUAAUUAUCCAUUCACAGCACAAUUUUUCAUAACUCUAUAUAAAGUAUGUUCACGCCAAAUUAUGCCAAUAUACAUGAGCUCUCUUACUUUUUUUGCAUUACAAUUCUUAAUACACCUUUAUACCACAAUUUAUCAUAUAUCUGUUUGUAUAUAAGGUAUGUUAACACCAAAUUCACAUCUUCAUACAUGUAUUUUGUAUAAUGAUGACUGUCUUAAAUGGAAUUGUUUCCAUUAGGUAAUCACAAAAACAUUUUAAAUAAAAAUAUUUUAAAUAUUCCUCCCCCCACCAGGAAAUGGUAAACAAUAAAUUUUAUAUUUUUGUCGCACAUCAAAAAUAUGUAAUCAGAUGAAUGGUAGUCAGUCUUCAUUUGGCAUUUGCCACUCUUAGCUACUAUAUAUAAUAAGUAUAUUAGAAUUAAAUUUGACAUUACCAUGGUGGCCUCUCCUUCAUAUGUAUUCAGAGGGAAGCUCAUUCCCCCUAUUUUGCAAGUAUCUGCC